GCCAGAUACACACACAAACCUUGCCCCGGGGAACCCUGGAGGUUGUUGGCUCCCAUGAUUAAGAGGAUGAGAUGUAUUAAUUAAUCCCUCGGGCUCUUUUACAAACGAUCACAGGAUUGUUUCCUAAGAUCUGUAUGCUGAUUCCCUGAAGAAUGGGCUUGCUCAGUCGCCCAGACAAUGAGUGGGAGGCAGACCAGUAUGGGCGUUCCGAUCGCAGGCGCUGAAGUCAGCAUCACCCCAUGUAGUCCGGAGGGUACCGUGACCUGCGCUGGAGAGGGCAGCGGGGGUUCCUGCCAGCUGGGCCUGUCAUAUCACCAUCCAACAGGGGACCGACUGAAAAUCACAGGCUCACUCACCAUCAGAGGAGUCUAACCCGACUCCAUUUCAGACUCCGGGCCUGUCUUCACUACAGCAGUUCGCACUCUCACGUUACGCCACUCCCGCAGUGUCGGGUGGACAGACAUGAGGGUGCUAAGCCAGCGUGUCCAGUUUGAGUGAGAACAGCCACCCUGCAAACCAACACUCAGAGCUGCACAGAUGGAGUGGAUUGGCAGUUGUCAAACUUCAAGUCAAGGAUUCUCUUGGGAAAGAAACACUGAAGUUUCUCGGGCAUGGAGUGCGAUUCCUCACCUCCCUGCUGACAAGCCGAAUGCUUGGUGCUGUCUAGUGAUGAUUUUGCCCUUGGUGCAAUGGGGAAGCGAGCAGCCCCCCCUCGAGGAAUAAAAGCAAGAACUAAAAAGAAUGUUCACGUUUGUCUGCUAUUGCAACAGCAGGUAAUGGCUUAUUUCUUGCGGUGGGGUGUCUGCCCUACACUGGCAGAAGAAGCAAUCCCAAGGAGGUUGUGCAGGAGGCAGCCAAAUAGGAAAGGGAUUGUAGAGACCGCUAAGGAGAGCUAGGAUGGGCCACAUAAAUAGGGCUGUGGAACAGAACAGCUUCGGUCACUCCCUGGAGUUGGAGGAGGGAGAACUGGCUGCCCUAAAAGGGGGCUGGAGAGAGAGCCCCAUGGACAGAGCAGUGAUGGGCAGGGGAGGGAAACAUGAGCUGCCGGCCAGCUGCUGCCAGCCUGAGGCCCUGAUACAAAGGUGAAAAGUGGGCCCAGGGGAGCAGACAGCGGGGGUUGUAGGUGGUGCAGCAUGUGGCUGCUGGCUAGACGAUUCCCAGGCCCGGACGCGAGCAGCAGGCAGGCCUGGGUCUCCACCCCCUCCC